GUUUAUUAUGUGCAUAUAAGAAUGUCAUGCAUUAGUUUUUAAAAAUAAAUUUCUUUUCAGGCUACUUUAAGAAUUGCUAAUGAUGAUGAACAAUCAUGAGUGGGAGAAGCAAAAGAAAAAAAGACAAAGAAAGGAAAAAGAAAAUUCGCUCAGAAAAUUUGGCGAAAAAUGCAGGUCUUUCCACCCAAAAAUUAUGAAUCACAAUCAACUGCAGCAGAGCAAGACAAAAAGUCAAGUUUUGAGGCAGAAAAACCAGACUGGUUGUGCCAUCAUCUCUACCAGGAAGUACGUCCAAUUAAAAUCUUCAAAGCACUUGAUUUUCUAAAGAAAACAAACCCACACUUUGCAGAUAUAGAAAUUAAAGAUGAUAUAUUUAAAAGUGGAGAAUAUCUAGAUGAUAGUGAAAACUACUCAGCUGUAGAUAGCAGUGGUGCUGAUAAGGAGAGGGAAUCUGAACCUGGAAAUAAUGACCACAAUGAAAGCAACAUUAAUGCUGAAUGUGAUGAUCCUGACACAGAGGAAGAAGAGUCAACAGAAGAAUCUCAUGACUUUGCACAACCACUUGAUACAUCUCUUCAACCAUCAGACUUAACACAGUAUUAUGCUGAUCAAAAUCCAAACUCCAUAUUUUGUAUUGCCCCGGCAGAAGGAAACACACCAACAAAAGUCAUCCAUUCUGAAGGACAGGCAUUUCCAAUUCAUUUCCCAAAUUGAAAAAAAAAA
rnacentral:sRNA from 1 species